CCUGCACCAUACAAGGUAACAACCUAUUAGUUGAAAUGAGAAUCAAAUUUGGAAUAGGUGGCUUACCUUUGUACGGCAAAGAAGUGGUAACACUAUGGACAUAUGCACAAGGGGUGCACUCGGCCAGAUUUGGUGAUUUCAAGGUUGGGGCCGUGCACUCUUUGUUGUUCACUUCAAUUCCUUCCUCGAUGGUGGGUUGUGGUACAUUCUUGUUGACUAGUGUUGAACAUUCCUGCCCUAUAUUUUCAAUUACAUUAAUAGCACAACAAGAACGAACAUCAUUAGU
rnacentral:lncRNA from 1 species